rnacentral:rRNA from 1 species
ACGAACGCUGGCGGCAGGCCUAACACAUGCAAGUCGAACGAACACGACCUUAGCUUGCUAAGGUACGGUUAGUGGCAAACGGGUGAGUAACGCGUGGGAAUUUACCCUAUAGUACGGAAUAACCACUGGAAACGGUGGCUAAUACCGUAUACUCCCUUCGGGGGAAAGAUUUAUCGCUAUAGGAUGAGCCCGCGUUAGAUUAGCUUGUUGGUAAGGUAAAAGCUUACCAAGGCUACGAUCUAUAGCUGGUUUGAGAGGAUGAUCAGCCACACUGGAACUGAGACACGGUCCAGACUCCUACGGGAGGCAGCAGUGGGGAAUAUUGGACAAUGGGCGAAAGCCUGAUCCAGCCAUGCCG